rnacentral:lncRNA from 1 species
ACUGAACCCGGAACCAUGUGGUUGGUUAGCAAGCUACUUACCACACAGGUCUUUCAAGCAAGUAUCACAUGAAAUAUCUGCUGUACAUUUAACCCCUCAUGCUUGUGUAGCUCUAAACUUAACAGUCAAUGGCCAUUGACUUAAGUACCAGUCUAUAACUUGUAUUCUCUUCAAUGUCUGUGAUUACAUCCAGGACCAUUGUUUACAAGAAGCAAAUUGGCUUGCUGCCACUUAAAUGUGGUACCUUAACAGGAAAUUGAUAUAUAUCUUCCUGUAUAAUAUAUAUAAUAUAUAUAUAUAAUUAUAUAUAAUAUAUAUAUAUAUAUAUAUAUACGUUAUUAACAAACCAGCAUUAAAUAAAAAGGGAAAACCUAAAAAUCUGCCCAUUUUAAUUUUAUUUCUAUUGUUCUUUUAAAUUAGAAUAUUCUAUCCCAAGUUUUAAAAACAAAAUUGAGUUUGAGCCAAUGAAAGAAAGCUUCUGUGUUGUCAUUUGACCUGAUCCUAGUUUCCAAAGCGCUUAAACACUUAUAUUGAACGUAAAAGCUGAGCUUCCCAGUUUAAACUCUAUACUAAUUUAUGAUAACAACCACAUGUUUCAAGUUUGUAAAUCUUAGAACGACUCAUCCAUCCAUAAGGAGAGUUUGAUCUCAUUUAGAAUGCUCACUAGAAAAUGAAAUUUAGCUCAAAGCAGUCUUCUUUACAACUUGCAUAAGACAAGAUGUUUACAUGAAUUACUGGGUGGCAAAUGUUGCUGGUAAGGUAUCAGGCAAAGUUGUUUGGGUGUUAAGCUCAUAAUCAUAAAGUUGUGUGCAUGAUUCCUGAGCCAGGUGGCAAGAUACGUUAAUUUAUUUUGUUCCAUUUCAGUCAGGUGGAAAUUUGUACCUGCAGCUGGGAUGCAGUUAACCCAUUAGUGGACUGGCAUCCUAUUCAGUGAGAGGUUUUGUACUCUGUGUUGCUUAAGGAUAAGCUCUGGUUUAUUGAACCUAUAGAUUGGCUUAGAGACAUCAUCAUUAUCAUGAUCAUUUUAAUGUUCACUUUUCCAUGCUUGCAUGGGUCAGAUAGAAUUCAUUGGGACAGAUUUUGUAGGGCUGAAUACUCUUACUGUUGUCAACCCUUACCUGUUUCUCAAGUAAAGCAUUUUUCCUCACUGGCUGGACAUGUUUCCACAGAAAUUUAUAAAUGAAUAACAUCACUUGUAAAGGUAAUGUUCCUUUAUAACUUUUGCACAGUGUUGAAACAAGGAGAUAGAAACACAAACGCACAUGUUUCUGUUUGCUAAAUUCAGUUUCUCUCCACCAAAUCCACUAACAAGGCUUUAGUAACCCCAGACUGUAGUAAAAGACCUUACCUGAAGUCCCUCACAGUGGGCUCGAACUUGAAACCCUGUGUUUAGGAAACAAACUUUUUAACCACACAACCAUAUUGUUUGCACCUAUAAAAAUAUUCAAAAAUAAUACUUGGGUUGGCUGACCAAAGCAAAUGGUAAGGUACCAUUUGUAGUGACAGAAAAUGGUGAGCUCUGAAAUGAGAAUAUAUUUCAGAUUCUAACACUUUCUACUUUGCUGUGACCACCACCCAUAGUCUGCUGGUGAACAGAAAUAAAUUGAACUGUGGAGAGAGUACAAUGUGUAGUGUCUAACACACUACAUCCUUGCUAUAUGGUUAGCCAUUGUAUGUCGGAUUGAAGGUGGCGAGCUGGCAGAAACGUUAGCACGCUGGGUGAAAUACUUAGUAGUAUUUCAUCUGUCUGAGUUCUGAGUUCAAAUUCCGCCGAGGUCAACCAUGCCUUUCAUCUUUUCAAGGUCAAUAAAUUAAGUACCAAUUGCAUACUGAGGUAAAUCUAAUCAACUGACCCCCUCCCCUCAAAUUUCGGGCCUUGUGCCUAGAGUAGAAAAGAUUAUAUGUCAGAUUGUAAAAAAAAAAAAAAGUAAAGUUACCUUCUCGAGUUAUGUUGAUUCAUACAGUUUGGUUUCCAUGGCAUUUAAAUUCCCAACUUGCCUGGGAUGCCGGUCUGUUGAAGGAUUACUUGUUUUUACCAGCUGAGUGAACUGGAACAAGCAUGAAAUGAAGUGUUUUGCUCAAGAACACAACAGGUCACCCAGUCCAAGAAUCGAAACCACAAUCUUACAAUCAUGUGUCCAACACCUUCACCACUAAGCCAUGUGCCUCCACAAAGUAAAGGUUACCUUCUCAAAUCAUACCGACUCAUAAGGGCUGAUUUCCAUGGUGUAUAAAUUUCCCACCUGGACAGGAUGCUGGUCUGUUAGAGGAUUACUCAUUUUUGUCAGCUGAGUGGACUGGAGCGACAUGAAAUGAAGUGUUGACUGAUCCAGGAAUUGAAACCACAAUCUUAUGAUCAUGCAUCCAACACCUUAAUCACUAAAUCACUGCCUCCUCUGUCAGAUUGUACACUAUGGUUAUUAGCUAGACAGAUCUGGAACAAUAAAUAUCCAGAUUUCGAGCGAGGUCAUUGCCAGUGCCACUGGAAUGGCUCCUGUGCAGGUGGCACAUAAAAAGCACCAUUUGAGCGUGGCCAUUGGCAGUACCGCCUGACUGGCCCUCAUGCCGGUGGCACAUAGAAGCACCCACUACACUCUUGGAAUGGUUGGCGUUAGGAAGGGCAUCCAGCUGUAGAAACUCUGCCAGAUCAAGACUGGAGCCUGGUGCAGCCAUCUGGUUCGCCAGUCCUCAGUCAAAUUAUCCAACCCAUGCCAGCAUGGAAAGCAGACGUUAAACGAUGAUGAUGAUGAUUUCAACUAGUUGUUUCAUCAGUGGUUCUUAACCUGCAUAGUAGCUCCCCCCUUGGUGGAAGUGCUAUGCAAAGCACUAGGUAUUUAAAAGGGCUGUGAAUUUUCUUAAAAAUAAAUAUUCAAACCAGGUAUGAUGCAAUAUCCUACCACUAGGCACGUGGCCUAGUGAUGAGAGUGUUGUACUCACAAUCACUAGAUCUUGGGUUCGAUUCCUAUGCCUGGCAGCACAUUGUGCUCUUGAGCGAAACACUUCAUUUCAUGUUGCUCCAGUCCACUCAGCUGUAAAUAGGUAACCCUGUGACACCGAGCCUACUGAUCAGGCUGGAUGUUGGCCUGCCCACCCAACGAGCAGGGUGCAUUAUUUGAAAGCUGAAAGGAUGUAAAGUGCAUUGUGACCAGCAAUGUGUAACAACAACAUCUGGUAGGCUGCUUGAUCACACAAUCACAUAAGACCACUUAUAUAUUUUAAGCACGUUUUCAAACAUUCUUUAUCAGGAUUAAUACAUAAAUAGAAAUUUGUGUUGUAUUGGACAGAAACAUGACUGAUAAUGUACCAAGGUCUCGUAUAAUAUAAUUACAUAAUUUCUUGCUUUCGUUAGUAAUUUUCACAGAAAUUUAGCUGAAAGGGCAUAAAGCUCAUGCAAAUAUCUAAAAAGCAGAAUAUGGUGUUACGGGACAGUAUAAGAAAAUAUAGAUAACCAACCACUGCUGAAAAUUAGCUUCCAUUUGUUCAAAAAUGUCCUAUUUAUUUACUUAUUUUGCAAAACACAAGGGGUCAUUUAGUGAAAGGGGAGCACUGAGGCUACGUAGCAACAGGUAAAUAAUUAAUAUAAAUGUGGCGCAUACUAAUAUAAUGACUCAGUCUCAAACAGUUGAUGGUAGUAUUACCACCACCUAUAAUAAUAAUA